AAGUCGUAACAAGGUUUCCGUAGGUGAACCUGCGGAAGGAUCAUUAACACGUUUCGUUCCGAACGUUUUGACCCUCCUAUUUUCCGUGCACCAAUCGCGUCCGGCCUCCCAGCCGCUCACUGGGUUUACUCAGUGUUGCCUGUUGGGCGUCUUUCGGGAUCCAGGAAUGAGUUUGUGCUUCAUUGAACAGACUCGUUUCUCCUGAAUGGGCGUUGCCACCUCACCCAAACCCUUUAAUCUAACUGAUCUGAACUUUUAGUUGAACAUUGGCGAAAGUUUCUUUUGUCAAUAUCCAACGACUUGAACAAACAACAACUCUUAACAACGGAUAUCUUGGUUCUC
rnacentral:misc_RNA from 1 species